UGAAACACGGACCAAGGAGUCUAACAUGUACGCAAGUCAUUGGGUUGCAACACCCACUGGCGCAAUGAAAGUGAAGGUCAAUUCAGUUGGCCGAGGUAGGAUCCCUAGUUUACUGGGGCGCACUACCGUCCCAUCGCAUCUGCUUGCCAGAGCGGUGGAGACAGAGCGUACACGUUGGGACCCGAAAGAUGGUGAACUAUGCCUGAGCAGGAUGAAGCCAGAGGAAACUCUGGUGGAGGUCCGUAGCGGUUCUGACGUGCAAAUCGAUCGUCAGACUUGGGUAUAGGGGCGAAAGACUAAUCGAACCAUCUAGUAGCUGGUUCCCUCCGAAGUUUCCCUCAGGAUAGCUGGCACUUAGAACGCAGUUUUACCCGGUAAAGCGAAUGAUUAGAGGCCUUGGGGACGAAACGACCUCAACCUAUUCUCAAACUUUAAAUGGGUAAGAAGUCUCGCUUGCCUGACCGAAGCUCAGACAUUGAAUGCGAGUGCCAAGUGGGCCAUUUUUGGUAAGCA
rnacentral:rRNA from 2 species